rnacentral:rRNA from 1 species
UACAGAGGUCUCAAGCGUUGUUCGGAUUCACUGGGCGUAAAGGGUGCGUAGGUGGUAAGGCAAGUCAGGUGUGAAAUCUCCGGGCUCAACCCGGAAAUGGCAUUCGAAACUACCUUGCUAGAGGGUUUGAGGGGGGACUGGAAUACUUGGUGUAGCAGUGAAAUGCGUAGAUAUCAAGUGGAGCACCAGUGGCGAAGGCGAGUCCCUGGAAAACUCCUGACACUGAGGCACGAAAGCUAGGGGAGCAAACAGG